rnacentral:rRNA from 1 species
GUGGGGAAUAUUGGACAAUGGGCGAAAGCCUGAUCCAGCCAUGCCGCGUGUGUGAAGAAGGUCUUCGGAUUGUAAAGCACUUUAAGUUGGGAGGAAGGGCAGUAAGUUAAUACCUUGCUGUUUUGACGUUACCAACAGAAUAAGCACCGGCUAACUUCGUGCCAGCAGCCGCGGUAAUACGAAGGGUGCAAGCGUUAAUCGGAAUUACUGGGCGUAAAGCGCGCAUAGGUGGUUCAGCAAGUUGAAGGUGAAAUCCCCGGGCUCAACCUGGGAACUGCCUCCAAAACUACUGAGCUAGAGUACGGUAGAGGGUAGUGGAAUUUCCUGUGUAGCGGUGAAAUGCGUAGAUAUAGGAAGGAACACCAGUGGCGAAGGCGACUACCUGGACUGAUACUGACACUGAGGUGCGAAAGCGUGGGGAGCAAACAGGAUUAGAUACCCGAGUAGUCC